UACGUAGGGGGCAAGCGUUGUCCGGAAUUAUUGGGCGUAAAGCGCGUGUAGGCGGCCAGAUAAGUCCGCUGUGAAAUCUCGAGGCUCAACUUCGAGCUGUCGGUGGAAACCAUCUGGCUAGAGUCCGGAAGAGGAGAGUGGAAUUCCUGGUGUAGCGGUGAAAUGCGCAGAUAUCAGGAAGAACACCCGUGGCUAAGGCGGCUCUCUAGUACGGUACUGACGCUGAGGUGCGAAAGCGUGGGGAGCAAACAGG
rnacentral:rRNA from 1 species